GACGAACGCUGGCGGCGUGCUUAACACAUGCAAGUCGAACGGAAAGGCCCUUCUUGUUUCUGGUGCUCGAGUCGCGAGCGUGUGAGUAACACGAGCGUCACCUGACCUUGGCUUUAGGAUAGCUUCAGGUAACUUAGUCCAACACAGGAUAUGAGCUUCAGCUCCGUGGUGGGCAAGGGAUUGCUGUGGUGGAUGGGGGUGUGGCUGAUGAGUUUGAUGGUGGGGUAGUGGUUGUCCCAGGCCACGACGGGUAGCCGGCAUGAGAGGGAGACCGGCAACAAUGGGACUGAGAUACGGACCAGAGUGCUACGGGAGGCAGCAGUGGGAAAUAUUGCACAGUGGGCGCAAGCCUGAUGCAGCGACGCCGCGUGUGGGAUGACGGCCUUCGGGUUGUAAACCGCUUUCGGCUGUGACGAAGCGUAAGUGACGGUACCGGGAGAAGAAGCACCGGCUAACUACGUG
rnacentral:rRNA from 1 species